CAGAUUAGUGCAAUGGAUUUAAGACCCAUAUAUAAAGUUUAACUUU
rnacentral:tRNA from 1 species